CACAGAAGCACAGAGAUUUACCAUGAGGAACUGAUUGCAAGCCCACUUCUCAUGUGGCUUCCAUGACCAACCACAGAAGCUGCUUUGGAGGGGAAGCCUUCCUGACAUCACUCAAGAGACGUGGAGUCAUGGCCUCAUCUUGGGCUUGCUGGGAGGCCAGUUUUGAGGCUGAACAGAAGGUCUCGGGAAGCUCCAGGAAGCUGCCAUCGGCCAUGCGCUGCUUGCAAAGCACCUCACGCCUCUGGACGCCCCCUCCACAGGUCCU